CGCGAAUAGCUCAUUACAACAGCCGUUGUUUCUUGGAUCUCCGCAAUACUUGGAUAACUGAGGUAAUUCUUGAGCUAAUACACGCAAUCGAGCUCUGACCUUUGGGACGAGUGCAUUUAUUAGAACAAAACCAAUCGGUGCUUGCACUGUGGUUUGGUGAAUCUGAAUAACUGAGCAGAUCGCUUCGGUCUCGUACCGGCGAUGUAUCCUUCAAGUGUCUGCCUUAUCAACUUUCGAUGGUAGUUUAUGUGCCUACCAUGGUUGUAACGGGUAACGGAGAAUUAGGGUUCGAUUCCGGAGAGGGAGCCUGAGAAACGGCUACCACUUCCAAGGAAGGCAGCAGGC
rnacentral:rRNA from 1 species